GACGAACGCUGGUGGCGUGCUUAACACAUGCAAGUCGAACGGGAUUUCGUAAACAGAAGCCUCGGUGGAAGAUUACUAAUGAGAGUGGCGAACGGGUGAGUAACGCGUGAGCAACCUGCCUAUGACAGUGGGAUAGCCUCGGGAAACCGGGAUUAAUACCGCAUAAAAUCGUAGAAACACAUGUUUUAACGGUCAAAGAUUUAUCGGUCAUAGAUGGGCUCGCGUCUGAUUAGCUAGUUGGUGAGAUAACAGCCCACCAAGGCGACGAUCAGUAGCCGGUCUGAGAGGAUGAACGGCCACAUUGGAACUGAGACACGGUCCAAACUCCUACGGGAGGCAGCAGUGGGGAAUAUUGCACAAUGGGGGAAACCCUGAUGCAGCGACGCCGCGUGAACGAAGAAGGUAUUCGUAUCGUAAAGUUCUGUCCUAUGGGAAGAUAAUGACAGUACCAUAGAAGAAAACUCCGGCUAAAUACGU
rnacentral:rRNA from 1 species